UUCUUUUUCGAGUGGUUUAUUCAUUGUUACAAUUACAAUCAGCAACGAAAGACGUUUUACAUUUUUAGGCAAAUUAUUGUUUAUUUAAAUAGUAUUAAGUGUUGCAUUCAUUUAAAGUCGUCACUCACUGAAGGGAACUUUUCCACGAAAAGCAAACAAAGCGAGGAUGGUUGUUGAGAAGCCGCUUGACGAUUUUCCGUAUUUAGAAGUGACCGCAAAAAGUGGCGCGUGUGUUAAUUGAAUUUCAAUGCGUUGAAAGCGACUUUACCUUCCCAGGUUAUUUAGGGUUCACUAUGGCAACCGCUAACCACAAUGAAACGCACUACGCGUAACGAUGAGUCAAACUCUAAAUUUGAAUCAACUGAUCGUUUUGUGACGUCAAACACAAACUUCUGGCGGUCUAUUGAGUCGUAGUCACUUAAAUAACAUAAAAGUUGGCUUAUACACUUACCGCGGUAAAAACACUGCCUAAACUAAAAUCGCAAAUAUUGUUGAUUCACCGGCGAUAGUGCUUAUCACGUUUCGUCCACAGCAGAUUUCGUUCAAAAACCUUUGUGUAUACGACGUACGUUGUGCGCGUGACGUUUUUAAUGUCGUCAUACUUGCUAUUAAUUACAUAGAAUCAGUAAACACAUACUGG